GGUAAUCUCUGUGAGGACGGAUCUCUGCCUACAUGUUGAUCUUGCUGCAAAUCUAGGUCACUGAUCUGUAUGAGCAGCUGUAUAUUUCUUGGCUUGGGCAGCAACUGCAUUAAAGGAAUGCAAGCAGUCGUGAAGCAGAGGAGCAGAUCCGGAGCGCUGUGCGUUUAAUUUAUGAGCCACUCCACGCUAAAAGGAUGAAAACAUGGGACUUAAGUUAUCCUGCCUGAAAGGCUUUAAAUCAUGUGUGAGCAGCGGGAGCAGCCAGACGCCCGUGGUGGACAGCAAACACCUGAGAGUCCCGGCCAUUAUCAUCACACCUCCUACCCCCACGGGCAUGACGCUGUCCAGAGACGCCAGGCGGCCAGGUGAAGAUCCGCCAUGCAACAACUGCUGAGACAGAUGCUGUGAGACUAGGAGCAGCGCAGAGCGCGAGGCAAGGGCUGGAGAGCGCAUGAAAGAGCCAGCGCUGUUUCGCAGGCCCCGGGAACAGCUUGCACGGGAACCCAUCUGUGCCGUGUGUUUCCCCCUGUCCCUCCCCCUCCCUUCAACCGGGUUUAUUAAAGAUUUAUUAAUGGAUCUGCAUACACCUCACUACUGGGACUUUCACACUGUUCCGAACUCUAGCAAGCUGUGGCAUGUUAAGUAAUUAGCCAGGCAGCUCCUCUCUGGGAGCGAUGGAGCAGAUUGAU